GAUGCAAGUCGAACGAACUCUGGUNUNGAUUGGUACUUGUAUCAUGAUUUACAUUUGAGUGAGUGGCGAACUGGUGAGUAACACGUGGGAAACUUGCCCAGAAGCGGGGGAUAACACCUGGAAACAGAUGCUAAUACCGCAUAACAACUUGGACCGCAUGGUCCGAGYUUGAAAGAUGGUUUCGGCUAUCACUUCUGGAUAGUCCCGCGGCGCAUUAGCUAGAUGGUGAGGUAACGGCUCACCAUGGCAAUGAUGCGUAGCCGACCUGAGAGGGUAAUCGGCCACAUUGGGACUGAGACACGGCCCAAACUCCUACGGGAGGCAGCAGUAGGGAAUCUUCCACAAUGGACGAAAGUCUGAUGGAGCAACGCCGCGUGAGUGAAGAAGGGUUUCGGCUCGUAAAACUCUGUUGUUAAAGAAGAACAUAUCUGAGAGUAACUGUUCAGGUAUUGACGGUAUUUAACCAGAAAGCCACGGCUAACUACGUGCCAGCAGCCGCGGUAAUACGUAGGUGGCAAGCGUUGUCCGGAUUUAUUGGGCGUAAAGCGAGCGCAGGCGGUUUUUUAAGUCUGAUGUGAAAGCCUUCGGCUCAACCGAAGAAGUGCAUCGGAAACUGGGAAACUUGAGUGCAGAAGAGGACAGUGGAACUCCAUGUGUAGCGGUGAAAUGCGUAGAUAUAUGGAAGAACACCAGUGGCGAAGGCGGCUGUCUGGUCUGUAACUGACGCUGAGGCUCGAAAGUAUGGGUAGCAAACAGGAUUAGAUACCCUGGUAGUCCAUACCGUAAACGAUGAAUGCUAAGUGUUGGAGGGUUUCCGCNCUUCAGUGCUGCAGCUAACGCAUUAAGCAUUCCGNCUGGGGAGUACGACCGCA
rnacentral:rRNA from 2 species